CUGAAUGCAAAGAAUAUUCCAAGCAAAAGAAACAGCGUGGGCAAAGCAUGGAGAAGAAAACUACGUCACAUAUUCCCAAGCAGACAGGUAGCACCAUCAGGGUAGGGAAUGAGGGUGUGAGGCUGCCCUGGCUACAGGCCUUCUAAUAAAGCAUUUAUUGUUGACUUACGGACCAUUUUUCAUUUUGUUUUUACUUGCUGGUAUAUAAUUUGCAUGGGAUAAAAUAAACUCAUGUAAUUCAAUAGAUUUUAGUAAACUUAAGAGUUGUACGGCUUUAUCGUCCCCCUCUUCCUGAUGCUUUUCCUGGGCUCCAGUGUUUGACUGCAUCGAGGCCUAUGCCCCCGGCUUCAAGAGAUCUGUGCUGGGCAGAGAUAUCCUCACCCCACAGGACCUAGAGAGGAUCUUCGGGCUUCCUGGAGGGAACAUAUUUCAUGGUGCCAUGUCCCUGGACCAGCUCUACUUUGCCCGACCAGUGCCCCAACACUCUGACUACAGAUGCCCCGUGCAAGGCCUAUACCUCUGUGGGAGUGGGGCCCAUCCUGGUGAGUGACCUACUUCCUGUGUGGGCUGUAAGGGCUUGUGGGGUGAGUGUCUGUCCUAAGCUUGCCUACAGAGGAGGAUGUGGGAAGCCAUCACUGGGUUCCAAAGCCUCUGCACAGGGGAAGCACACAGCAGUACCUCUGCCAGGCUGCUGCCACCCUCCUCUCUUGGUAAACAUCUCCUCCCGCCUAGGUGUAGGGACACAUUCUGAUGAAGGGUGGAGGCGGCUUCUCCAAAGGCGGGGAAGGCUCACAGUCCUUAAUUUGUCACCUGUCUUUGAGACCAGAAAGGAUCAGUAACGUUUCUUAACCUUGAAAUUCCUCGCUAUACCAACUCCAAACCUAGGUGACUUCACUGUGGUUGUCAUCUCCUGGCGACGCCCUCUCUGGCAAGUGGGAGGAGGCGUCAUGGGAGCGGCUGGACGGAAUGCAGCCCACAUAGUCUUUAGGGACCUCAAGAACAUGUGAUGCUGGACCAGCUCUGAGCCCAAGGAGAAAAGUUUUCCCUGCACUUUGAGCCGCCUAGCAGGCCAUCUUCCCAUGAUGCCCUGCUUCCCAUGAUGCCACUGGAGACAACUGCACUAGCAAGGCGCCACUGUUUCUUAAUCAAGGACUCAGUUACAUUUAACACAAUCUCACCCGUGCCCUUGGAUUAGCUGGUUUUGUCUGGUUAA
rnacentral:lncRNA from 1 species